GUCCACGCCGUAAACGAUGUCUACUAGCCGUUGGGCGACUUGAUCGCUUAGUGGCGCAGUUAACGCGAUAAGUAGACCGCCUGGGGAGUACGGCCGCAAGGUUAAAACUCAAAAUGAAUUGACGGGGGCCCGCACAAGCGGUGGAGCAUGUGGUUUAAUUCGAUGCAACGCGAAGAACCUUACCAGGUCUUGACAUCCUAGGAAUCCUGCAGAGAUGCGGGAGUGCCUUCGGGAAUCUAGAGACAGGUGCUGCAUGGCUGUCGU
rnacentral:rRNA from 1 species